rnacentral:misc_RNA from 1 species
GAUAAGAACGUAGCGAAAUGCGAUAAGUAAUGUGAAUUGCAGAAUUCAGUGAAUCAUCGAAUCUUUGAACGCACAUUGCGCCCGCCAGCAUUCUGGCGGGCAUGCCUGUUCGAGCGUCAUUUCAACCCUCGAGCCCCCCCGGGGGCCUCGGUGUUGGGGGACGGCACACCAGCCGCCCCCGAAAUGCAGUGGCGACCCCGCCGCAGCCUCCCCUGCGUAGUAGCACACACCUCGCACCGGAGCGCGGAGGCGGUCACGCCGUAAAACGCCCAACUUUCUUAGAGUUGACCUCGGAUCAGGUAGGAAUACCCGCUGAACUUAAGCAUAUCAAUAAGCGGAGGA